GAUGAACGCUAGCUACAGGCUUAACACAUGCAAGUCGCGGGGCAGCAUGGGGGUUGCUUGCACUCCCCGAUGGCGACCGGCGCACGGGUGAGUAACGCGUAUCCAACCUGCCCUUCACCACGGGAUAACCCGGCGAAAGUCGGACUAAUACCGUAUGUUGUCCAUUGACGGCCUCCGAUUUGGACGAAAGGUUUGGCGGUGAAGGAUGGGGAUGCGUCCGAUUAGCUGGACGGCGGGGUGACGGCCCACCGUGGCGACGAUCGGUAGGGGUUCUGAGAGGAAGGUCCCCCACACUGGAACUGAGACACGGUCCAGACUCCUACGGGAGGCAGCAGUGAGGAAUAUUGGUCAAUGGGCGUAAGCCUGAACCAGCCAAGUAGCGUGCAGGAUGACGGCCCUAUGGGUUGUAAACUGCUUUUAUGCGGGGAUAAAGUGGCCCACGUGUGGGUUUUUGCAGGUACCGCAUGAAUAAGGACCGGCUAAUUCCGUG
rnacentral:rRNA from 1 species